rnacentral:tRNA from 1 species
GGGAUUAUGGUUCAAGUGGUAGAGUGCCUGUCUAGCAAGCAGAAGGCCCUGGGUUCAAACCCCAGUACUA